UGGAGGAGGUGGCUUGAAGUGGGUUCAAACAAUGUCACACUGGAACUGGAGCCUCUGGGUUGCAAAUGGACUUUGCACAUGGAAAGAAUGGAGGAAAUGUUGCAGUAUGUGGUGAAACUGACGAUGGCCAUCAAGCAAAAGGAGUUAGCAUAGAAGCUGCAGCAUCACUUUGAGGACCUCCAGGUGAGGUAGGAGCCCAGUCUGGAAGGAGAUCUAGAGCCACCUGAGUCCUAUAUAUAUGGACAUCUGUCCAUCAGUAAGACUAAGAGGCACUACAAUGAAAAGAAUCCCUCAAGGUAUUGUGCUAAUCUAGUUAUUAAGAGCUUCUGCGCAGGAGAGCAGACGACUGCCUUCUGUCAUCUCCAAUAUCUAUGUUCUGAGCAGGUUUUCCUUGAAUUCACAGAAAUCUGCCUUCUUUUCUCUCCCAACUCCUGAAAUUUCCACCCCCAUCUCAGGCAGAAAUUACAGUUUGUUUAGGAACAUCCCUUGUAGAGAACAGAUUCCACUCCUUUUAUGGUGCUCUCAACAUUGAUUACCAAUUUCUGUGAAAAGGGCUCUGUAGAUAACAAUAGGUUAAAGAGU
rnacentral:lncRNA from 1 species